rnacentral:lncRNA from 11 species
AUAUUCUCACCUGCUGUUUCUGAAGCUAUAGUUUCUGAGCAUCUCAUUUCUGACCAGAUUUGACCACUGAUCAAUAAGGGAUGCUGUAACAGACAUGAGUGAUGUUUUGGCAGGCAAUUGCAAUAACUCUAGCUAUCUGAUUGCAUUACCGUCUACUAGGCAAAGGGUGUCUCCUGGGAAGAAGCAUUACUUAAGAGCUGGUCAUGGCAAUAAUAACAAGAAGAAAAGGGAAAUGGUUCAACACAUUGUUCAGCGAUCUUUUAGAUUUCACUGA